UGGCCCCUGACCGGGGUUGCGGACAGUGUCUGGUGGGUAGUUUGACUGGGGCGGUCUCCUCCCAAAGCGUAACGGAGGAGCACGAAGGUUAGCUAAUCCUGGUCGGACAUCAGGAGGUUAGUGCAAUGGCAUAAGCUAGCUUGACUGCGAGCGUGACGGCGCGAGCAGGUGCGAAAGCAGGUCAUAGUGAUCCGGUGGUUCUGAAUGGAAGGGCCAUCGCUCAACGGAUAAAAGGUACUCCGGGGAUAACAGGCUGAUACCGCCCAAGAGUUCAUAUCGACGGCGGUGUUUGGCACCUCGAUGUCGGCUCAUCACAUCCUGGGGCUGAAGUAGGUCCCAAGGGUAUGGCUGUUCGCCAUUUAAAGUGGUACGCGAGCUGGGUUUAGAACGUCGUGAGACAGUUCGGUCCCUAUCUGCCGUGGGCGCUGGAGAAUUGAGGGGGGCUGCUCCUAGUACGAGAGGACCGGAGUGGACGCAUCACUGGUGUUCGGGUUGUCAUGCCAAUGGCACUGCCCGGUAGCUAAAUGCGGAAGAGAUAAGUGCUGAAAGCAUCUAAGCACGAAACUUGCCCCGAGAUGAGUUCUCCCUGAGACUU
rnacentral:rRNA from 1 species